AGAGUUUGAUCCUGGCUCAGGAUGAACGCUGGCGGCGUGCCUAACACAUGCAAGUCGAGCGAUUCUCUUCGGAGAAGAGCGGCGGACGGGUGAGUAACGCGUGGGUAACCUGCCCUGUACACACGGAUAACAUACCGAAAGGUAUGCUAAUACGGGAUAAUGUACUUUUGUCGCAUGGCAGAAGUAUCAAAGCUCCGGCGGUACAGGAUGGACCCGCGUCUGAUUAGCUAGUUGGAGAGGUAAUGGCUCACCAAGGCAACGAUCAGUAGCCGACCUGAGAGGGUGAUCGGCCACAUUGGAACUGAGACACGGUCCAAACUCCUACGGGAGGCAGCAGUGGGGAAUAUUGCACAAUGGGCGAAAGCCUGAUGCAGCAACGCCGCGUGAGCGAUGAAGGCCUUCGGGUCGUAAAGCUCUGUCCUCAAGGAAGAUAAUGACGGUACUUGAGGAGGAAGCCCCGGCUAACUACGUGCCAGCAGCCGCGGUAAUACGUAGGGGGCUAGCGUUAUCCGGAAUUACUGGGCGUAAAGGGUGCGUAGGUGGUUUCUUAAGUCAGAGGUGAAAGGCUACGGCUCAACCGUAGUAAGCCUUUGAAACUGAGAAACUUGAGUGCAGGAGAGGAGAGUAGAAUUCCUAGUGUAGCGGUGAAAUGCGUAGAUAUUAGGAGGAAUACCAGUUGCAAAGGCGGCUCUCUGGACUGUAACUGACACUGAGGCACGAAAGCGUGGGGAGCAAACAGGAUUAGAUACCCUGGUAGUCCACGCCGUAAACGAUGAGUACUAGGUGUCGGGGGUUACCCCCCUCGGUGCCGCAGCUAACGCAUUAAGUACUCCGCCUGGGAAGUACGCUCGCAAGAGUGAAACUCAAAGGAAUUGAC
rnacentral:rRNA from 1 species